CCCACGGCAUCGGCCGCCAGAAUUGUUUCUGUCACUGGCGGCCUCUCUGAUCUGCUUUCUCUCCUUGGAGGUUGGUGGGGACUGGGGCUGGGGCCCAGUGUUUCUCGGUGGUGGACAAAGGUGGUGAUGGUGGAUGAAGGUGGUGAUAAUGAAGGUGGUGAUGGGGGAUGAAGGUGGUGAUGGUGGAUGAAGGUGGUG